rnacentral:lncRNA from 1 species
UGGAGUUGGUGGGCAGACCCAAAUCAUGAUGCAAGCCUGCAGUAGCAAGUGUGCAAUGAAGCACAACCAAAUUCUGUGAAUGGAAGGUAGCAAGACGCCUCUCCAAAGCAGCCCUUCUGCGCAGGAGCUGAAAGCUCCACUGGAAAGAAGACAUAGCUCAUCCAGCAAGCCGCCUUUGGCCGUUCCUCCCACUUCAGUAUUUUCCUUCUUCCCUUCUCUGUCCAAAAGCAAAGGAGGCAGUGCAAGUGGAAGCAACCGUUCUUCCAGUGGAGGUGUUCUUAGCGCAUCCUCAUCAAGUUCCAAGUUGUUGAAAUCACCCAAAGAGAAACUGCAGCUCAGGGGGAACACCAGGCCAAUGCAUCCCAUUCAGCAAAGUAGAGUUCCCCAUGGUAGAAUCAUGACACCCUCUGUGAAAGUGGAAAAGAUUCAUCCGAAAAUGGAUGGCACACUACUGAAAUCUGCGGUGGGGCCAACCUGUCCUGCUACUGUGAGUUCCUUAGUCAAGCCUGGCCUUAACUGCCCCUCAAUACCAAAGCCAACCUUGCCUUCACCUGGACAGAUUCUGAAUGGCAAAGGGCUUCCUGCACCGCCCACUCUGGAAAAGAAACCUGAAGACAAUUCCAAUAAUAGGAAAUUUUUAAAUAAGAGAUUAUCAGAAAGAGAGUUUGAUCCUGACAUCCACUGUGGGGUUAUUGAUCUCGACACCAAGAAGCCCUGCACCCGGUCUUUGACAUGCAAGACACAUUCCUUAACCCAGCGCAGGGCUGUCCAGGGUAGAAGAAAACGAUUUGAUGUGUUAUUAGCCGAGCACAAAAACAAAACCAGGGAAAAGGAAUUGAUUCGCCAUCCGGACUCUCAGCAACCACCGCAGCCUCUCAGGGACCCGCAUCCCGCCCCUCCUAGAACGUCACAGGAGCCGCACCAAAACCCUCACGGAGUGAUUCCUUCCGAAUCAAAGCCUUUUGUAGCUAGUAAACCUAAACCUCACACCCCCAGUCUUCCAAGGUAAGCCAGGCCCUCCAACUCUUUCUCCCACCUUCAGAGAUGAGACUUGCAGAUACUGUAAAAUUUCAGUAUGGUCAUGCUGUUGAGAAACAUAUCUCAGGCUCACUGUGGAGAUAGUUUUUUAAGGAGUUUUACUAUG